GACGUAGGGCGCGAGCGUUGUCCGGAUUUAUUGGGCGUAAAGAGCUCGUAGGCGGCUUGUCGCGUCGUCCGUGAAAACCUGGGGCUCAACCCCAGGCUUGCGGUCGAUACGGGCAGGCUCGAGUUCGGUAGGGGAGACUGGAAUUCCUGGUGUAGCGGUGAAAUGCGCAGAUAUCAGGAGGAACACCGGUGGCGAAGGCAGGUCUCUGGGCCACUACUGACGCUGAGACGCGAAAGCGUGGGGAGCGAACAGG
rnacentral:rRNA from 1 species